rnacentral:rRNA from 1 species
CCUGCAUGAAGUCGGAAUUGCUAGUAAUCGUAGGUCAGCAUACUACGGUGAAUACGUUCCCGGGCCUUGUACACACCGCCCGUCAAACCAUGAGAGUUGGCAACACCCGAAGUCGGUAGUCUAACCGCGAGGAGGACGCCGCCGAAGGUGGGGUCGAUGAUUAGGGUUAAGUCGUAACAAGGUACC